UGUGGAGACGGCGACGAGCCAACGACGGCGGCACGGCGAGCUCGAUGGGAACGACGGGGCGACAGACAGCUGGAUCCAUGGCGAUCCGAUCUAGAGCGGCCGGACAAGCUCGCCGACGGUGGCACGAUGUGCUCGAUGCCGGCGACGCAGUGAGCUCGGCGACGAUGACGGCGACGGUGGUGACGGCGACGAUGACGGCGACGGUGGUGACGGCGACGAUGACGGUAGCGACAACGACGAAAAUUCACUUCCGGUGAAUAUAAUACUAUUCAUGAUACCACUAAUACCAAAUAUGAUACUGUUCAAGUAUUAUAUAUGAUACAUGCGAGAUACCAUGUUACUUGAAAUGUAUCAUGCCUAAUACAUUUAAGAUAUCAUGUUAUUUAAGAAGUACCAUAUUAUUUAGAUAAAGUAAAAUGUCCCAUUGUCUCAACGGUAUACCGUACCAUAACAGCCCCUUAAUAUACUCUCCUCUUCCUUCUCUUCUAGCUCCCGCCAUCUGCCUCUCUCCCGUGCAUGAGCGUCCUUGGCCAGCGGGUGCACACCGGCGUCGGCGCCAGAUUCGGCAACACUACAGCGGAGGGACGGUGGUGGCCAACAACCCUGGCCCAUCGACUCCCCCCUCGCACAGCGUCUCCCGCGUCUUGUGCUUCGCUCGGCCAAGACGGCCAUGAUCACCGGCGACAAGAUCUGCAAGGGGGUGCAGUGCUUCAAGCACUCCUUCCUCAUCAUCACCGGCGUCACCUUCGCCGGCGCGCUCGUCUCGCUCCUGCUCGUCUGGAGAACCAGAAGCUUCUACAAGGGGGACAUCUACGCCAAGUUCAAGGUGGCGCCGGCCGCCGCCACGGCCACACCGGAGGCGGAGGAGAAGACCAAGAAAGAUGGAGCUCAUGAGUCUAACUGAUGGAUGACUAAUUAACCUAUACUUUUCAGUUAAUUUGAACACAAUUUAGAGGCAAUUAGUGGGAAGAUGAAAAAGUUUGUGUAUGAUUUACUGGUGAACCAGUGUAAUUUCUGUGUUAAAUGUGACAAGUUAAAGAUGAGUUUUCAGUCUGGUCAAUUUGUAAGCUUGCAAGUUCAUGGACUUCAUUCACAGUUUCACACUGCUCCUGUUACCUGUGUACUGAAGACCAAACGAA
rnacentral:lncRNA from 1 species